AGUCGCGGUGGAAACCAGCGGUGGACGCUAUACGAGUGAGAAUGCAGGCAUGAGUAGCGAAUGACGGGUGAGAAACCCGUCCGCCGAAUGAUCAAGGGUUCCAGGGUUAAGCUAAUCUGCCCUGGGUUAGUCGGGGCCUAAGGCGAGGCCGACAGGCGUAGUCGAUGGAUAACGGGUUGAUAUUCCCGUACCGGCGAAGGACCGCCCAUACUGAGCUGUGGAUGCUAACCAUGAUGGAUCAUGAUUGUUGCAGCCUUCGGGUUGUUGGUUGUGUGAUGUGGUGGGAACCGAUGCAGUGAGGUCAGCGUAUUAACAGGUGUGACGCAGGAAGGUAGCCGAGCCAGGCAAUGGAAUUGACCUGGUCCAAGGGUGUAGGAAGAGUGGUUGGCAAAUCCGCCGCUCAUAUGUUCUGAGACCUGAUAGGCGCCCACUUUGGUGGGUGAUUCGGUGAUCCUAUGCUGCCUAGAAAAGCAUCGGCGCGAGGUCCCAGUCCGCCCGUACCCCAAACCGACACAGGUGAUCAGGUAGAGAAUACUAAGGCGAUCGAGAGAAUCAUGGUUAAGGAACUCGGCAAAAUGCCCCCGUAACUUCGGAAGAAGGGGGGCCUGCCUCGUGAUCAGCUCUUGCAGUUGUGAGCGGGUGUGGGCCGCAGAGACCAGGGGGAAGCGACUGUUUACUAAAAACACAGGUCCGUGCGAAGUCGCAAGACGAUGUAUACGGACUGACUCCUGCCCGGUGCUGGAAGGUUAAGAGGACUGGUUAGCCGUAAGGCGAAGCUGAGAAUUUAAGCCCCAGUAAACGGCGGUGGUAACUAUAACCAUCCUAAGGUAGCGAAAUUCCUUGUCGGGUAAGUUCCGACCUGCACGAAUGGAGUAACGACUUCCCCGCUGUCUCAACCAUGAACUCGGCGAAAUUGCAGUACGAGUAAAGAUGCUCGUUACGCGCAGCAGGACGGAAAGACCCCGAGACCUUUACUAUAGUUUGGUAUUGGUGUUCGGUGCAGCUUGUGUAGGAUAGGUGGGAGACUGUGAAGCUUGGACGCUAGUUCAGGUGGAGUCAUCGUUGAAAUACCACUCUGGCUGUAUCGGUCACCUAACUUCGGACCAUGAUCUGGUUCAGGGACAGUGCCUGAUGGGUAGUUUAACUGGGGCGGUUGCCUCCUAAAAUGUAACGGAGGCGCCCAAAGGUUCCCUCAGCCUGGUUGGCAAUCAGGUGUCGAGUGUAAGUGCACAAGGGAGCUUGACUGUGAGAGUGACAGCUCGAGCAGGGACGAAAGUCGGGACUAGUGAUCCGGCGGCACCUCGUGGAAGGGCCGUCGCUCAACGGAUAAAAGGUACCUCGGGGAUAACAGGCUGAUCUUGCCCAAGAGUCCAUAUCGACGGCAUGGUUUGGCACCUCGAUGUCGGCUCGUCGCAUCCUGGGGCUGGAGUAGGUCCCAAGGGUUGGGCUGUUCGCCCAUUAAAGCGGUACGCGAGCUGGGUUUAGAACGUCGUGAGACAGUUCGGUCCCUAUCCGCUGCGCGCGUUGGAAAUUUGAGAAGGGCUGUCCUUAGUACGAGAGGACCGGGACGGACUAACCUCUGGUGUGUCAGUUGUACUGCCAAGUGCAUCGCUGAUUAGCUACGUUGGGAAGGGAUAACCGCUGAAAGCAUCUAAGCGGGAAGCCUGCUUCGAGAUGAGAUUUCCAUGCACCUUGAGUGUGUGAGGCCCCCAGCUAGACCACUGGGUUGAUAGGCAGGAUGUGGAAGCAAGGACUGAAGACUUGUGUAGCUGACCUGUACUAAUAGGCCGAUGACUUUCAACACACAA
rnacentral:rRNA from 1 species